rnacentral:lncRNA from 1 species
AAUAUUACGUUAUCUUGAAAGCUUUUGAAUAAAAUGAUUCCCAAAACUUAAACCAUAUUAAACAUAAUUUUUGAGCAAAUAAAGCAUGAUGGAAAUGAUAAUAUGCAAUGCGAAGUAAUAAUUCGUAAACCAAAAAAAGUACUCUAAUGGAUGACAAAUAAUCGAUAAGUACAAAUAAGCAAUACAAUACACAUAAGGGCAAUAAUAUCACAAUGCAUGUUAUUUUAAUGUCGAUAUUUAACAACAAGAAAAAUGAAACAAAAUAAUAUAUAUAGAACAAUUUGAAGUAAAUAGUGUAAAACAAUUCAAAGUAAAUAAUAUGCAACAUAAUUAAAGACAUGCAAAGCAAAAAUAAAUAACAUAGAAGACGAUUUUAAAAUAAUAUAUAAAAAGUUGAAAACAAAUAAUAUGUAAAAAGAAAAUUUCAAACAAAGGAUAUACAAAACAAUUUCUUUUAGAAAAAUGAUAUAUGAAAACAAUUCCAAAUAAAUAAUAUACAAAAAAAUAAAAUGGAUAAUAGUUUAAUAUGGUUUGAAAUGCUUAACAUAUGAAAAACUUAAAAUAAAUAAUAAAAUAAAUAAAUAAUACAUGAGGAAAAGUAUUAAAUAAAAAAAUUGCAAAAUAAAUCGAAAUCAACAGAUUUGGGACUAAUUUGGGUUGAAAAUGAAAUUUAAAGGCAUAAAUUACAAAUAAAAGGAAACAGGGGCCAACUAAACUGCGCCGAAAAAGGGCGAGGACC